CAAUAGCGUAUAUUAAAGUUGUUGCAGUUAAAAAGCUCGUAGUUGGAUUUCUGGUAGGAGUGACCGUUCCGAACUUGAUUGUUCGUGUAUUGUGUUUUCUUCAGCCAUCCUUGUGGAGAACUUUUCUUGCAUUAAUUUGUAGGGAUUGGGACCCGCAUCGUUUACUGUGAAAAAAUUAGAGUGUUUAAAGCAGGCAAUCGCUUGAAUACAUUAGUAUGGAAUAAUAAGAUAGGACUUUGGUACUAUUUUGUUGGUUUGCAUACCAAAUUAAUGAUCAACAGGAACAGUUUGAGGAUAUUCGUAUGAACAUGUCAGAGGUGAAAUUCUUGGAUUUUGAUCAGACGAACUACUGCGAAAGCAUUUAUCAAGGAUGUUUUCAUUAA
rnacentral:rRNA from 1 species